UACGUAGGGCGCAAGCGUUAUCCGGAAUUAUUGGGCGUAAAGAGCUCGUAGGCGGUCUGUCGCGUCUGCUGUGAAAACUCAGGGCUUAACCCUGAGCUUGCAGUGGGUACGGGCAGACUAGAGUGCGGUAGGGGAGACUGGAAUUCCUGGUGUAGCGGUGAAAUGCGCAGAUAUCAGGAAGAACACCUAUGGCGAAGGCAGCUCUCUGGGACGGUACUGACGCUGAGACGCGAAAGCGUGGGGAGCGAACAGG
rnacentral:rRNA from 1 species